CCUCCCWCCSUWKGUGAACCURCSKMUGKUGCYUUGGCKGGCMGCGGUCCCCGGCCGCCCCCCUCCCCGGGGGGUGGCCAGCGCCCGCCAGAGGACCAUCAAACUCCAGUCAGUAAACGAUGCAGUCUGAAAAACAUUUAAUAAACUAAAACUUUCAACAACGGAUCUCUUGGUUCUGGCAUCGAUGAAGAACGCAGCGAAAUGCGAUAAGUAAUGUGAAUUGCAGAAUUCAGUGAAUCAUCGAAUCUUUGAACGCACAUUGCGCCCUUUGGUAUUCCGAAGGGCAUGCCUGUUCGAGCGUCAUUACAACCCUCAAGCUCUGCUUGGUAUUGGGCACCGUCCUUUGCGGGCGCGCCUCAAAGACCUCGGCGGUGGCGUCUUGCCUCAAGCGUAGUAGAACAUACAUCUCGCUUCGGAGCGCAGGGCGUCGCCCGCCGGACGAACCUUCUGAACUUUUCUCAAGGUUGACCUCGGAUCAGGUAGGKAUWYYMGMUGAWCUUAAGCAUAUCAAUAAG
rnacentral:rRNA from 1 species